AAGCCGCCUGUGGGAGGCCUCGGGCACGCGCUCUAUGUGGGCUGCUUCCUCCUGGGCUUAGUUGCUCCCUGCUUAUCCUUCAUUCUCAGUGUGACCAUCUCUUCCCUGGGGAAUCUUCCCCGGGCCCAAUCUAGACCAAGUCCUGUUACAUGAUCAUAGAGCUCUCUUUUCUUACAGUAACCAUCUGAAUUUAUAAUUAUUUUAUUUGUCUUGCUAGUGAGAUGGGAAGUGGAGAGCAGGCCCAUAAUAGGCCCACUACCUGCUGCAAGUGUCAGAGCACAGCUGACACCUGUCCCCUUCAGGGAGGGAGAAAUCUCAGGGGAUAGUUCCUUUCUCAUCACCACAGGACUGUUUCUUUCCUUUUUUGUUGGGGUUGGUGGUGGUAAUAAGGUUUAUUUAUUCAUUUUUUUUUUAUUACUUUUUUAAACAGAAGUCCUGGGGAUUGAAGGAGGUCCUGGGGAUGGAACCCAGUACCCCGUGCAUGCUAAUCACACACUCCACAACUGAGCUCUACCUGCCCCCCCCCCACAUGGCUGUUUCUAAUGGGCUCAUUGAUCUGUUCAAUUUUAGUUCAUCAGUAAUUUAAUAUUUAUAAGUUUCUUCCAAAAUGUAUAGACGCUUUAUUUUGAAAUGAGGUCCCUCUCUGUAAACAUAGGCAUGGUCCAUGGGACUCUUCGCAGAUGACGUCCCCGUCUGCAAGCAGUGCUGGAAUGAGUAGACUUUUUGCCAGAGUUCCAAGUGGUCAGGAUGGGAAUCACAUUCGCAGAGAAGUGCGAUCCCACAGCAUUGAGGGCACGAGCCGGGAGGAGCGUGAUCUCUGCCAUGAAGCUCGGCAAGAACCGACCUCACAAGGAAGAACCCCGAAGACAAGGUAUCGAGGUGCGACCCUGACCCCAGCAGAGCCCAGGCCCUCCGGCCCUCUCUCUGCGCUUCACAGGGACUAAAGGCCUCCCCUCCGCGGGCAGCGCCCCAACAGGGUCUUCUGCGAUUGCCAGCGGGGCCGCCUGGGCGGGGCCUGGCCUCCCAUUGGCUGGCUGAGGAGCCAGGUUGUGACCGCGGUCCUCCGAAAGAGGGAGCUCCGAGGGCUGAAGGUGGGAACCGCAUUUCCUCUGGUCUAGAACUGGGC
rnacentral:lncRNA from 1 species